rnacentral:rRNA from 1 species
CACGGGGGGAACGAGCGUUGUUCGGAUUUACUGGGCGUAAAGGGUGCGUAGGCGGAUGGGCAAGUCGGAUGUGAAAGGCCACGGCUUAACCGUGGACCGGCAUUCGAAACUGCUCGUCUUGAGUACAGGAGAGGAGAGUGGAAUUCCAGGUGUAGCGGUGAAAUGCGUAGAUAUCUGGAGGAACACCGUUGGCGAAGGCGGCUCUCUGGACUGAUACUGACGCUGAGGCACGAAGGCCGGGGGAGCAAACAGG